CAGAUACUAAACUCAAAAGUGCAACACAAAGGAUGGCCAACCGGCAGAGCGUGACAGGUUGAGCCAGACAAUGACAGGCUGCUGCAGCUGUAGUGGGCUGACCUUCAUCCUGUCUCAGGACCUCCAAGCUCUGGUGAUCAUCUGAAAAUUUAAGGAUGGCACAUAUUGAAUUAAUGUGGCCUACCAAAUGAGGAUUGGAACAGGGCCCCAUCUGAACUGUCCAAAUGAUCCAUCAUCAGGGAUACCUCCCAGGGGCUGCUGGCUAUCAAUGAUCGAAGUCAACAAGUCUCCUAUGUCAUCGGUCUCCGGUCUUUCUGGGGGUCCACCACCAGUCUUGAAACGCUCCCUACGUGCAACAGCAUUUGUCGUCUUUAAGUUUAUUUUUAUGUUUUUCCACAGGAUCUAAGAAAGAUGGAACAAUAUAAAAAAUUAAAAUUCUGUAUGAUGCUGUUUGUAAUAUACUUGGAUCACAAUGAAGCAACAUUUCAA